rnacentral:lncRNA from 1 species
UUUUUUUUCCUUUCUCGAAAAUUGAAGUAAACAAACCUUAAAUGGUGGUGUCUGAUAAAAUUAAAAUUAUGAGUUUUUAUAUUACUGUUUGAGCAGGAGACUUUGUCCAUUUUCCAUCCUAUUCUGCUAGCAAUAUAUGGCUCAAAAUAGGAGGGGAAAAAUUGGAAAAACUACUUUUCUUGAUAGCUUAGCUAUAUAUUUCAGAUUUAAAAAAUACCUUUUUAUUUCAAAAGUAAAUUAUUUCUCUCAAAUAAAAUUGGAUUAACUGAAUCUCUAUUAAUUUUUAAAAUGAGCAACUAAGAAUAAUUAAUAAUGAUGUUAAUGUUUUUCGUCAAUUAUACAUUAUUUUGAUUAGUAUAAUAAUAAAUUUAGCCCUUGAUGUUUAUACGUGUUAUAUAAAUGUUGACAAAAUAUGUAAAUAUUCGAGCUAAAUUAUUAAAUCAAGACUGAAUUGAUAAUAUAUAUAAAUAAUAUUUGCUAAAUUAUUAAAUCAAGACCAAAUUAACAUAAUGUGUAAACUUUAAAAACUAAAAUUAUUAUAAUAUCAAUAAAAAUAUAUAAUUGAUGAUUAAUUAUCUUGCUCAUUUUCUAAAUUAACAGGAAUUAGACUAAUCUAAUAAAAAUAAAAAUUUACUCAGUAUCAAAAUUUUAAAAAUAAAAUCAUUGACACCAUGCUAGUCCCCAUAAAGCAAAGUCCUAAUCAAAAUUUCAACAUUGCUUGACCCUUAAAUAAAUACCUUAACAAAAUUUCUACAAUGUUAGGUUUCUUGUCAUGUCGGACUAAGAUUUUCUUUUCCCUAAUUCUAGGCCCCCGUCCCCACACAUUUAGACCUAAAAAUAUUUUCUACAAAGCCAAACCCCAGAGACCAAGUCCGAAUAAAAUUUCACAAUGCUAGGCCCCAUAUAACAUGAUCUAAUAAAAAUUUCCACACCAAUCUUUACGCAUACCUAAUAACGCAUUGAUUGCUACUUAUUAUAUAUAGCUAUGUAAAACUCUUUAAUCGAUAAUUUCGUGUUCAAUUUACAUAUACUAACAAUAUUUUAUGAUCCAAAUGUUGUAUUAAUAAAAGUUUCAAUUUUUUAUGAUUUAGAAUAACGUGUAUUAGUGCAUUAUGUUGACAUAUAAAAUUUGUUUUUUUUCUUAAUUUAACAUAUAAAUGCAAUGGUUUGAAAUGUGAACAUGAUUGCGUUGUUUGCUUGAAAUCUUAUAUAAACAUACGCUAUCCACUCCACUCUUGUUCUAUAUCAACCUUCCCAUUAUCAUCUCUAAGAGAAACCAUGAAAAGGUGGUUAAUACCAUCGUAUUUUGUGAUCUUUUCCCUCUUCUUUACCUAUAAUUCUUCUGCUCUAACAUUACCGUUUUGCCCUCAUGACCAAAGUGCUGCCUUAAUCCAAUUCAACAGCUCCUUUUCCAUUGAUUGUUCCGGUUUUAGGCAACCAUCUAUAUCCAGGGCUAAGACAAUCUCCUGGGAGGAAGGAACAAACUGUUGCUUGUGGGAUGGGGUUAAGUGUGAUACUGAAACAGGGAAUGUGAUUGCCCUUGAUCUUAGUUUCAGCUGCCUUUUUGGCCCUUUCCCCUCUAACAACACCCUCUUCCUACUCCGCCAUCUCCGUCAGCUUAACCUUGCCGGGAAUGAUUUCAGAUUCUCCCCAAUGGCAUCCCAGUUUGGUCAAUUGACUAGUUUGACCCAUCUAAACAUCUCCUGGUCCAGCUUUAUUGGUAAAGUUCCACCUGAAAUCUCUCGCCUUUCUAAACUAUUAUCCCUUGAUUUAUCCAUGUCUGGUUUGAUGUUUGAAGGGCAUGUCUUUGAAAAUAUGGUCGCAAACUUGACACAACUAAGACACCUUCUCCUCUCAGAAGUCAAUAUGUCUCAAGUUGUUCCUACUUCUUUCCUUAACAUGUCUUCUUACAUACAAACUCUUGUCCUCGAGAAUAAUUACGAACUGCACGGAAAGUUCCCUGAAGAUGUUUUCCGCUUUCCUUACUUACAAAAGUUCCGUGUUUCUAGUAAUUUUCUUGAACUCAAGUUCCCAAAGACUAAUUGGAGUGCUCCCCUCAAGUCACUGCAAGUAACGUUGUCAUAUUUGGAGGAACUGCCUGAUUCAAUUGGUGACCUUACAUCUCUGGAGAUAUUGGAUCUUCCUGUUAAUCAUUUAGGAGGGCCAAUUCCAGCAUCUCUUGGCAACCUCACACAACUAAAGUAUUUAGAUCUUUCCGAUAAUAACCUUAGUGGUGUUUUGCCAGUUUCUGCUUUUAACCUUAGACAAGUUCAAUUUGUAGAUUUUUCAGGAAACAAGUUGGCUGGUUCCUUUCCUUCUCAAGUAAGUGACCUUUCACAACUUAGUAUUCUAGACCUUGAUCGCAACUUUCUCAGUGGCAGGGUACCGUCCUGGUUGUUUUCUCUUCCAUCUUUAGUUUUGUUGAGGCUCAGUAAUAACAAGCUUACUGGUCCAAUUGACCAAUUUGACAAGGUUACUCCAUUGGAGGAGGCUUAUUUGCAGAACAAUGAGAUAGAGGGUCCAGUUCCUGGUUCUAUUGCCCUACUUGUGAACCUUAUUUAUCUUGAUCUUUCCUCCAAUAAGUUGAGUGGGAAUUUUGAGUUGGACAAACUAUCAAAGCUCAAAAAACUUGAGUCUCUUACUCUCUCAAAUAACGCUUUGCUAUCAUUUACCAGUGAAAGCAAGGCCAAUUACUCCUUGCCUAAUCUUUUGUCACUAAACCUCUCUUCUUGUGACGUCAUUGAUUUUCCAGAUUUUGUAAGGAAUCUAGAAGGUUUGAGAGAGUUAGACCUUUCGAACAAUCGAAUCCAUGUCAUUGAAGCAAAUAUGUUUGUGAAGCUUAAAGAACUUCAACGACUGGAUCUGUCACACAACAGCCUGCUAUCCCUGAGCAACAAUGGCAACCUUAGUCUUUUCUUGCCAAAUCUUGGUUACUUGUCAUUGGCAUCAUGUAAUCUAACUGUAUUUGCAAAUUUCUUGACAAUACAAGAGAGUUUGCGAGAGUUAUACCUUUCGAACAACAGCAUUCAAGGCCAAAUUACCAAACAAGAAAGAACUUGGGGAAGCAACCUAGUGAUUCUUGAUCUUUCUAACAAUUUGUUGACAGUUGUAGAAUAUUAUCCAUGGAGGAAUAUAAAAGUUCUUAGGCUUGACUCCAAUCUGCUAGAAGGGCCACUUCUAGUACCACCGCCUUCCACAUCUGUUUUCUCCAUCUCAAACAACAAAUUGACGGGUGAAGUUCCAUAUUCGAUUUGCGAAUUCGGCACAGAAAUUGAUGCAGCUCUCGACUUGUCUCAUAACAACUUGAGUGGAGUAAUUCCAAAAUGUGCAGGCUUGGCAAAUAUUGCUUACCUGGAUUUGCAUGCGAAUAAUUUUCAUGGAAACAUCCCUGAUUUUUGUGUUAAUGAAAACAAUAUGUUAAGUACACUUAAUCUCAACGACAAUGAUUUUGAUGGGCCAUUACCUAAAUCCUUGGCCAACUGUCUUCUUUUGGAAGUGUUGAUUCUUGGAAACAACAAGAUAAAUGACACAUUUCCCUAUUCGUUGGGAAAUCUUCCUUCGCUUCAAGUGCUUGUCUUGCGCUCCAACAAUUUCCAUGGUCAAGUAAUCAAUCCAGACAACCAAUCUUAUUUCUCAAAUCUGCGAAUCUUAGACCUCUCCCAUAAUAAUUUCUCUGGUUAUCUGCCAACAACUUUCUUCAAGAGUCUUGAAGGUAUGAUGGGUUUGGCCGAUGUUGAUAUGGCUUAUAUGGGAGAUCGUUUUCAAUAUUACACAGAUUCCAUGGUUCUCACAAUGAAAGGUGAGGACAUUGUGCUAGAGAGAAUUCUAACUAUUUUUGCAGCCAUCGAUAUGUCAAGCAACAAAUUCGAAGGAACAAUUCCAGAAACAGUUGGAAACCUUAUUUCUCUCCAGGUGCUCAACUUUUCUCACAACCACUUAACCGGUCAUAUUCCUUCCUCAUUGGGGAAUUUGGUAGCACUUGAGUCGCUAGAUCUUUCUUGCAACGAGCUUGUUGGGGAGAUUCCUUCGGAGUUGAAUGGUUUGAAUUUUCUUGAAGUGUUAAACCUGUCAGAGAACCAGCUCGUUGGGCUCAUACCUCGGGGAAAACAAUUCAACACCUUUCUCAACGAUUCCUACGCAGGCAAUAUAGGACUGUGUGGGUUUCCCGUUUCAAAAAGCUGCGGCCGUAGUGAACCACCACCAGCAAUUUUUGAUGAAGAGGAAGUUGAUUCUGCAUUUGGAUUGGAUUGGAAAUUUGUAAUGAUGGGUUAUGGGUGUGGAUUGGUUUUUGGAUUUUCAGCUGGUUACAUCAUGAUGACAAUUCGGAAACCAAAAUGGCUUGUUGGGAUGAUUCAACGCGCAGGCAACAGAGUUCUUAGGAGAUUCAAGAAAUAUCGUUGAGGAAGAUAGAAUUUGUGAAGACAGAUGUUUGCUCAUCGGUGGCUGCUUGAACACCUUUUCUGUGGAAUCUCUCUCGCCAUGAUUUUCUUUUUGUUACUGUUAUUGCUCCCAAUAUAGAGUCAUUUGUAGUUUUGUCCAUGUCUUACGUACUUCUGAGUUUUAAUAAAUUUGAUGAAAUAAUUCUUUAUCUAAAUUAAAAACAGCAUUGAAUUUUUUUUUUGCUGAAUACUUACUUGAAUUUUGAAUAAAUAAAAAUUAAAUUGAAUUUUUAGUUAAUCGAAUUGAAUUAUUUGAGUCAAUUCGAAUAAGUAAUUCGAGAUUCGAGUUGAAUUUUACAAUUCGAGUAACUCAAUGAUUCAAAUAAUAAAUUGGUGUAAAUAUCAUUUUGGUCCCUAUCAAAUUUGAAAAUGAGCAAAUUGAUCUCUCUCAACAAAAAUUAUAAAAAAGAUUAAAAAAAAUUUAGAAUUCAAAAUUUUAUAUUUUUAAAAUUUCUAAAAAAAAUUCUAAAAAUAUAUAUAAAGAAAGUUAAAUAUUUUAAAAAAAAUAGAAUAAUAAUUUUGGACUUAAAUAAGUUAAUUAAUUAUUUAAGUUUGUCAUAUUAAAGUAUUUUUUAUUAUUUUGUUUUUGAAAAAGUUUUCAAAUAUAUAUGGUUUAAAAUUUAUGUGCUAUAAUAUGGAAUUAGUUAUACUGUAACAAUAUUUUACUUUGACAUAUUUAAUUUUUUAAUUUAACUCUAAUAAUUUCACUCAAUUCAAUUCGACUCGACACAAAUUUCUUUUCACUUGACUCGAUUCGAGAAAAAUUAAAAUAGGAAUUGUCAACUCAAUUAACUCAAAAAAAUUUCACUCGAUUUGAUCGAACGCUCACCCCUAGUUGCCCCUUUCCUUGCAUGCCACACAUCAUCAUUCGGAAAAUAUUUUCCCUUCAAAACCCUCACCCACAGAGCUUGUUGAUGAUUGAUCAUCCUCCACCUUUGCUUUGCUAAAAGUGCAACAUUAAACAUGUUUAAAUCUCUAGAUCCCAAACCCCCUGCACUCUUACUAUGUCAUUUUAAACCAACUCAUCCAAUGAACCUCUCUCCUCUUAGUUUCUCCACCAAAAAGUUGUCAUUUUAGUAUUAAUCUCAUCACAAAUCUUCUUGGGAAAUUUAAAACACGACAUUGUGUAAGUCAUAAUAGUGCAAGCAAUAGCUUUUAGCAUAAUUUCCUUACCCCUUGGCUUAACAUCUUCAGUUUCCAUCCUUUAUUUUUUAUUUUAUUUUAUUUUUUGCAAAAUUCCUUCUUUGACAAAGCCCAUAGCUUGCCUCUUUGUUUUGCCCUCAAAAGUAGGAAUUCCUAGGUAUGAUCCUACAUUAUCAGCUACUGCAAUCUGUAGCUCUUGACUCAUAUUCACUCUUUGUUACUGUGGCACAUUUGCACUAAAAAAGAUACUCGACUUGCUGAAGUUAAAAAGCUGACCUGAUGCUGCACGAUGGCCAGCUAUGCAGUAGCUAAAACUUUGAUGCAUGAUUUUGACCAGUUGAUAGCUGGUUUCUUACUUGGUUCCUUUGUAACUUAUUUUUUGUUAAGCUUUGAAUGUAUUGAUGUUUAGGUGUUGAUUAAGCUGAUUAGUCAGCUUAUCCAAGUGUGCAGCUCAUGUUUUGCAAGUUUCAAGUUUAGUUAGUGGUAGUAGUUAGUGUUUGGUAAGUUGGUUGACUUGAAACCUUGUAAUGCUUUGUUGAUUGUAAUGAAAAUUUUGUUUUUCAUUUCUUUGCUACUCACUUUGGUCUUCUUUGCGAAAACACCAAUAACUUGUAUCAAGAGUAUGUUGUCUUUAAGGGCCAUUUUUUUGUUUUUUGUUUUUCGUUUCUUGCUGAAAAAGAUAAAAGUUGUUUUGUUUCUUGUUGUUGUAAAACAUGUCUUCAACAAACUUCUGACCACCUUCACUACCUAUUUUUGCUUGAGAGAACUACUACAUUUGGGUAGUGAAGAUGAAGACCUACCUCCAGAUUUAGGAGCCACCACCCUUGAGAGCAAAUCCCACCGUUUCUUAGAUAAGGAAACACAAUGAUGAUUGUGCCAAGAAAUACAAAGCAAUGUCUUGUCUAUAGAAUGGUGUUUCAAAUGUUAUUUUCAUCAGGAUCUUGACUUAUGAAAUUCCCAAACAAGCGUGGGACAAGCUGAAGGGGGAGUUCCAAGGCUCAAAAGACAAGACAACAACACCUCAUCAAUCUGAAGAAGGAUUUUGAAAAAUUGAAGAUAAAAGAGGCUGAGACAGUUAAGCAAUACUCAAAUAGGAUUAUGGCAAUGGUUAAUAGCAUCAGGUUACUUGGAGACCAACUCAAUGAUAGCAAGAUUGUUGAUAAGGUUAUCACAACACUUCUUGAAAGGCAUGAGUCCAAAUUUUCCUCUAUGAAAGACUCAAGGGACUUGUCAAGAAUUUACUUGUUUGAGUUGAUAAAUGUUCUCUAUGCUUAAGAGCAUAGAAGAGCAAGUAGACAGAAGAAGCAUUCUAGGCCAAAAGCAAGGAAGGCUUGAGUUCCUCAAGCUAUAAGGGAAAGAAGAGCUGGAAUGAAAAGAAAGAAAAGCCAAAAAGAGAUGUUGAAAGGAAGAAGUAUCCUGUAACACCCUAUACCCAAUCCAAUCACCGAGUGUAGGUACCAAAUGUCACAAUGACCCAUGUUAACUAUUAACAUUCCUAACCUAAAGCGUUUAUUUAAUUUGAAGAUAUGAAAUUUUUAAAAUCUGACAUUUACUAUAUCCUAUAAGUAUGACAAUAUUACAAACUUGUCACCUUAAGAGAGACCAACCCACAUUUUCACAUUCUAAAAUUUGGUGCUUUAAAACAAACACAUCAUCUAAGUCUCCAAGGUGUGAUCUCUAAAGGAGUUCCUCUAUAUACAUGGAACGGUUUACGCGUCCAACUCUCAAUUCUGGUGGUGUCUAGCUUGUUCCCUCCACUCUAGCCCAGAGUCAAAUCAUUAUCCUACACCCAAGGCAACAAAUUCAUAAGUCCAAAAGAACUUAGUGAGGUUCCAUGAUUUUGUACAACAAAAUAUCUUAUUAUUAUUUUUGAAAUGAGGUAGAAGCAAAGAAAAAUUCAAACUCCCUAUUUGUCCAUGGGAUUUCCACUGAUUAUUCCAGCACGAUUAUCGCCUUGCCCUUUUCUUAAUACCUUUACCUUUUUUAUUAAAGAUUGGAAUAGAAAUGUUUAUGGAUUCUUAAGUUUUUGUAAGAGGUAUCUCAUGAGGAAGCUUUCCAAGGUCCAAGUGAAGUUAAAGCGCUCUGAUUCUAUUCAUCUAGUUCAUCAAGAAUUGGAGAUUCGAAACAAGUUGGAAAACAUGUUUAAUCAUAAGGAGUUAUUGUAGAGACAAAAGGUGAUGUGUGAUUGGUUGCAUUUAGGUGACAGAAAUAUGAAAUUCUUUCAUAGUCAUUCACUUUAGAGGAGAAAGUUUAAUCGUAUCAUGGCCUUGCGUCUUGAUAAUGGUGAGUGAUGUUCUGAUCAAAGUAGACUUCAAACUGAGGUUGCGGGAUUCUUUGAAAGAUUAUAUGGUGAAACUCUGGAGUUGAUGAGGGAUCUUCUGAUGGAUAUCUUUCCACGUCUUAAUUUAUCUUAUAUUACUUACUUGGAAGAGCCAGUAACUAAUGAUGAGAUUAAAAGGGCUUUAUUUGAAAUGGAUCUAAUGAAAACCUUAGGAAGUGAUAAUUUCCAUGCACUUCUUUUCCAGAGCCAGUGGGAUAUUGUUGGCAGUGUUGUUUGUGAGUGGGUACAAGGUAUUUUUGCAGGGAAUCCUAUUGAUUCAAAUUUGAAUAACACAUUGAUCGUUCUUAUCCCAAAAAAAUAGAUUUUCUUGAGAACUUUAAUCAAUUUCAUCCAAUCAGUCUUUGCUCUGUCUUGUAUAACUGGUGAUGAAAGUGAUUGCAAAUCGAUUUAAGUUGGUUUUUCCCAACUUUAUUUCAUAGGAACAAGGUGGUUUCAUUGUUGGGCACAAUAUCUCAAAUAAUAUUAUUAUAGAGCAAGAAGUCAUUCACACCAUGAGAAGGAAACGUAAUGGGAAGAAUUGGAUGGCUAUUAAGUUCGAUUUAGAAAAGACGUAUGACAGAGUAAAUUGGGAAUUUAUUGAUGUAUCUUUACAAGUUGUCGGGAUACUUGAUUUACUUCUAAAAGUGAUCAUGUCAUCCAUUUCUUCUUUGACCAUGCAGAUUCUUUGGAAUGGAGUUUGUACAGCCCAAUUUUGCCCCAAUCCCACUACCCAAAAUUUGACCCGGGCCCAUACCAGCAA